UUGACUCAACUUGGUUUGAUGCCUUUCCUCGUUUUUUAGUAAAACAAAAUCUACAACAUUGUGUCUACGUACUUUCGCCUUACUUUUAUCAAACCGUUCUUUAUCAUUCACUGCUGUAGAUACAACAUUCUUUUCAGCUUGCGCUCUCACGUUUGACAGGUCAACUUCGUUUUCUAUGUCACAAGGUGGAAGUAAUCCUAACGGCCUUGAUACUUUUCCCAAUAACAUUUCUAGAGGACUUGCCUUCGUCACUCGCAAAGGACCCUGGUGCGAUAGGGUUUCUCGACAAAAAGUCAACAUGUGCCAUUCUUUUCCCUUCUCUAUAUUGAUAACAAAUGUAAAUGACUGCAAAAAGGCCCACCAUUGCUGUGUUCUAGGAGUCAAAUCUUGCUUAUUUCUUGACGCCUUCAAUGAGUUACAGUCGGUAAAAACUGUAAAGUUCCUGUCCAACAAAUAAUGUCGAAAAUGUUUAAUGGAGUUUACGACCGCUAAGGUUUCUAACUCAUACGAGUGAUAUCUUGACUCUGCAGCCACUGCAAUUUGCAUCUGUAUGCAGUUCAAUUGGAUAAUUUGGGUCAAAAAUAACAAGAGCUGGCUCAUCAGUAAGUAUAGAAAUAACCUUCUUCCGUAUCUGCUCAUGUUCUGCUUUCCAAUUAAAUUUAUUUUUCUCAGAAGUUAAGAAAUAUAACGGUUUCAUUAACUGCGAAAACCCCUAAUAAACUGCCGGAAAUACGAUGCUAAUUCAAUAAAUCGUCUAAGUGAUGUUACAGAUUGUGGAGGAACAAGGGCUGUUAACGCUACAAUUUUCUGAGGGUUUGGACUGCACUGGACCAGCACUGACACUUAAGCCUAAAUAUUGCACCGAUGUUUUCAGGAAGGAACACUUUGUAAUAUUAAACGAAAAUCCAGCCUCUGUCAGAACAUUUAAAACAAUCUCCAAUCUUUCAAAA